GUCUACGGCAAUGCUACCCUGAAUAUGCCCAAUCCUGUCUGAUCUCAGAAGCUAAGCAGGGGCGAGCCUGGUUAGUACUUGGAUGGGAGACCACCUAGGAAGACCAGGUGCUGUAGGUG
rnacentral:rRNA from 1 species